ensembl:lncRNA
GGGCAAGAAGGUGGAGCGAGGACCUCAGCGGGGCAAGAAGGUGGAGCGAGGACCUCAGCGGGGCAAGAAGGUGGCGCGAGGACCUCAGUGGGGCAAGAACGUGGAGCGAGGACCUCAGCGGGGCAAGAAGGUGGAGCGAGGACCUCAGCGGGGCAAGAAGGUGGAGCGAGGACCUCAGCGGGGCAAGAAGGUGGAGCGAGGACCUCAGCGGGCAAGGAGGCGGAGUGAGGUCUUCAGCGGAGCAAGGAGGCGGAGUGAGGUCUUCAGCGGAGCAAGGAGGCAGAGUGAGGACCUCAGCAGGGCAAGCAGGCGGUGUGAGGACCUCAGUGUAGCAAGGAGGCAGAGUGAAGUCCUCUGUGGAGCAAGGAGGCGGACUGAGGUUCUCAGAGGGGCAAGGAAGUAGGGCGACUUCCGAAGUGUGUCAGGAAGGGUGCCCUGAGAGGAAUGCUCCUGUAACCAUAAUAACCACUCUUUACAACCAUGGUGAGCAGAAAUGCAUCUCAGAGGGCUCAACACCUCAAAAUAUGAGACGACUGGGUUGCAACAGCAGAGGACCACAUCAGGUUCCACUCCAUUCAGCCAUGAUGAGGAAUCUGAGGCUGCAGUGGGCACAGGCUCACUGAACCUGGAAAGUAAAAAAAAAAG